rnacentral:tRNA from 1 species
AAAAAGAAGCGAUUAAUCGCAAUCAGUUUCGGCCUGAUUUUAGGAUCUUUCCCUUUUUU